rnacentral:lncRNA from 1 species
ACAGAAAUCUGCUACUUGAGCUAUCAUGGUUGGCUCUGGACAUAGGCAGUUGUCGAUGAGCUUUAUAAGAACUGAAGCUAUUCGAUUGAGAUCUUUGAGAUGGAUCUUGUCUGUUUCACUUGGAAUAUUGAAUCUGUUGGUGAGGCUCAACCACAGAUGUUGUGUUGUGCAAAUGAAUGGAAGGUCAUCAAGAUUUUUUGACAAGUGAAUGUAUGCACCAUCGCUUGGUAGAGGACUCCAUCCAGCAAGAAGUUCUUUGGAGAUACUCAUCUCGAUGUUGUUAACUCAAGAGGACAAAAGGGAAUGAUCAUUGUUCAAGGAAUAGAUCAUAUUUGCAUAGAAUUGACUUACCUUUCCAUCAAAGAUUUCUUUUUGCUUGAUGUUCUCCAUAUAUUCCACAAGUCCAUGGAAGCUAAGGAGUUCUUCCAACAC